UUUGGAGGAAAGCAUUACUCAAGAGAAAAACAGAGCAAAAGCAGCGUUAGAGGAAGAACAGAAGAGAGUCCAAGAGCUGGAGAAGCGCUUAGCCGGCCAGAGGAAGGCUUUGGAGGACAGCAUGACUCAAGAGAAGAGCAGAGCACAGGACGCAUUAGAGGAAGAACAGACCAGAGUCCAAGAGCUGGAGAAGCGCUUGACCCACCAGAAGGAGGGCAAUAGCCAGAACCAGACACCAGACACGGUUCUCCAGCCGCGAUGGCCUAGGGCAGGCCUCUCCUCUCCCUUGUUGAAGAUGCUGUCCUUCUGUGGAUGCACUUAAACUAGCUUUGGGGAGAGCUCUAUUACAGUGUGGACUCGUGUGGACUUUGUGGUCGCCCUCAGAUCUCUGAGUCUUUUCAUAAAAUGCUU